rnacentral:lncRNA from 1 species
UGGUGUGUGUGUAUACUAACUACAAAUUAAGUUACGUCAAAUUACUGAACUAAACUUGAAGCGUCAAAACAAGACUUGAGCUGUUCCUUUGGGGUUUUUCUUGGGCGUUGAAAUAACCAACUCCAAAUUUGAACAGAUAAGGGAAAUACAAUUGUUUCACUAUAACAACCCAACCCAUUAGUGAUAAUAUCCUCUUUGGGUCUUAGGCCCGCAUAACUUUUUAACUUGUCAUUAGGGUUUAAGGCUUCCUUCCUUAUAUACCCAAUAUCUCUUGUGUUUUACUGAUGUGCGAUUUACCUGAGUGUUCAUAA